GCCCUUGUGAUGAAAUUGGUAAACAUAACGGACUUAAAAUCCGUGGCCUUCACGGGCUUGCCGGUUCAAGUCCGGCCAAGGGCACCA
rnacentral:tRNA from 3 species